AAUGGAUCUAGACCUGGCAUAUCUUCAUACGACCAUGCAAAAAUAUCCGGAUAUUCCCGGAGGAGUUGGAUGAUCUUCUUUUUAACCCCUUCCUCUAGAGUAGCACCAAUCUUGAUUUCUCGCUUGUUCCCCUCGGUACCUAUGUUGAUAAGCUCAAUCUCUUCCUGG
rfam:Medicago truncatula strain A17 chromosome 2, whole genome shotgun sequence.